rnacentral:rRNA from 1 species
UUACCACUUUGUGGUUCAUGACUGGGGUGAAGUCGUAACAAGGUAGCCCUAGGGGAACCUGGGGCUGGAUCACCUCCUUAUACGAUGAU